rnacentral:rRNA from 1 species
UACGGGGGGGGCAAGCGUUGUCCGGAUUUAUUGGGCGUAAAGAGCUCGUAGGCGGUUCCGUAAGUCAGAUGUGAAAACUCAGGGCUCAACCCGGAGACGCCAUCUGAUACUGCGGUGACUGGAGUCUGGUAGGGGAACACGGAAUUCCUGGUGUAGCGGUGAAAUGCGCAGAUAUCAGGAGGAACACCGAUGGCGAAGGCAGUGUUCUGGGCCAGUACUGACGCUGAGGAGCGAAAGCGUGGGGAGCAAACAGG